GCAGUCUGNAACUCAGUGCAUGAAGCUGGAAUCGCUAGUAAUGGCAGGUCAGCAUACUGCCGUGAAUACGUUCCCGGGCCUUGUACACACCGCCCGUCACACCAUGAGAGUUGGAAAUACCCGAAGCCUGUGAGCUAACUUUGCGGAGGCAGCAGUCGAAGGUAGAGCCAAUGAUUGGGGUGAAGUCGUAACAAGGUAUC
rnacentral:rRNA from 1 species